rnacentral:rRNA from 1 species
UACAGAGGUGGCAAGCGUUGUUCGGAAUUACUGGGCGUAAAGGGCGCGUAGGCGGCCUACUAAGUCAGACGUGAAAUCCCCCGGCUUAACCUGGGAACUGCGUCUGAUACUGGAAGGCUUGAGGAUGGGAGAGGGAUGUAGAAUUCCAGGUGUAGCGGUGAAAUGCGCAGAUAUCAGGAGGAACACCGGUGGCGAAGGCGGGUCUCUGGACAUUUCCUGACGCUGAGGCGCGAAAGCGUGGGGAGCGAACCGG